UUAAAUUGAAGAGUUUGAUCAUGGCUCAGAUUGAACGCUGGCGGCAGGCCUAACACAUGCAAGUCGAACGGUAACAGGAAACAGCUUGCUGUUUCGCU
rnacentral:rRNA from 1 species